UCUUUUAAAAUUAAUGGACCUUUAUACUGGCAAAGCCAUUCCUUCGCGCUACCCCAUCACAAAGUCAAUGAAGUCCCCAAACGAAACUACGAUCCAUCACUGCAGUGUUGAUAGGUUGCCCUUAUUUAAUCAAUUUGGAAGAUAUUAAGAAGGCUGACAAUAGAAAAAUUACAAGCAUUGAAGUCAAAAGUCUUACCAACGUUUUGGGCUACGAUUUAUAUAGUGAAAGACUGAAGGUUUUCAUUAUCGAUUUUGCAGCUUAUUGUAUAAAAGCAGUCAAAAACCUUAAACAACAUUUUCCCAUAAUGUUGCAUGUCACUCGCUCAUGGUCUAAACAAAAUAGAUAAGGUCUGAGUCUAUCCUCCUAAAUAGUUCGAACAUACCAACACUUUUAUCUCUGAAGUAAACAUUUUGUUUCCUAAUUCUGGUGAUCGAAAAUGAUUGAUUACUAUCCCGAGCACUUCAAUUCAGUAUCAAUUGGAAAUUUGAACGCAAAAAUUAAAUAUCUACUGAUGGAUGAGGCCGCUACAUAUUUCCCCUAGUUAUCAUGAAUAAAACCUACAUAGUGCAAUCAUGCAAUGUAAGAAACCAAAUAUAAAGAUAUAUUUUUAAUACAUAAUUACCUAUAAUAUACCUAUAUUGAUAAUUCUCCUGACUUAUGAUUCAUUUUAUAUCUACACUAUUAUUAUAGAUCCCCUUCAUACUCCUUAAAUAAUUAUUAAUUACUCAUUCUAAAUAGUAAAUAUAAUUCAACUAAGCUUUCAAGUUUUCGUACGUGUAAUCGUCUCCAGCAUUUUAGGCUAAGAACAACAAUAUAUGAGUUUCGAAGUCCAAAAAACAUAAACAAUUCCAUCAGUAAAAUAUAAUUUCA
rnacentral:lncRNA from 1 species